CGGUAGCACAGAGAGCUUGCUCUCGGGUGACGAGUGGCGGACGGGUGAGUAAUGUCUGGGAAACUGCCUGAUGGAGGGGGAUAACUACUGGAAACGGUAGCUAAUACCGCAUAAUGUCGCAAGACCAAAGAGGGGGACCUUCGGGCCUCUUGCCAUCAGAUGUGCCCAGAUGGGAUUAGCUAGUAGGUGGGGUAACGGCUCACCUAGGCGACGAUCCCUAGCUGGUCUGAGAGGAUGACCAGCCACACUGGAACUGAGACACGGUCCAGACUCCUACGGGAGGCAGCAGUGGGGAAUAUUGCACAAUGGGCGCAAGCCUGAUGCAGCCAUGCCGCGUGUAUGAAGAAGGCCUUCGGGUUGUAAAGUACUUUCAGCGGGGAGGAAGGUGUUGUGGUUAAUAACCGCAGCAAUUGACGUUACCCGCAGAAGAAGCACCGGCUAACUCCGUGCCAGCAGCCGCGGUAAUACGGAGGGUGCAAGCGUUAAUCGGAAUUACUGGGCGUAAAGCGCACGCAGGCGGUCUGUCAAGUCGGAUGUGAAAUCCCCGGGCUCAACCUGGGAACUGCAUUCGAAACUGGCAGGCUGGAGUCUUGUAGAGGGGGGUAGAAUUCCAGGUGUAGCGGUGAAAUGCGUAGAGAUCUGGAGGAAUACCGGUGGCGAAGGCGGCCCCCUGGACAAAGACUGACGCUCAGGUGCGAAAGCGUGGGGAGCAAACAGGAUUAGAUACCCUGGUAGUCCACGCCGUAAACGAUGUCGAUUUGGAGGUUGUGCCCUUGAGGCGUGGCUUCCGGAGCUAACGCGUUAAAUCGACCGCCUGGGGAGUACGGCCGCAAGGUUAAAACUCAAAUGAAUUGACGGGGGCCCGCACAAGCGGUGGAGCAUGUGGUUUAAUUCGAUGCAACGCGAAGAACCUUACCUGGUCUUGACAUCCACAGAACUUUCCAGAGAUGGAUUGGUGCCUUCGGGAACUGUGAGACAGGUGCUGCAUGGCUGUCGUCAGCUCGUGUUGUGAAAUGUUGGGUUAAGUCCCGCAACGAGCGCAACCCUUAUCCUUUGUUGCCAGCGGUUCGGCCGGGAACUCAAAGGAGACUGCCAGUGAUAAACUGGAAGAAAGGUGGGGA
rnacentral:rRNA from 1 species